rnacentral:rRNA from 1 species
UACAGAGGUCCCAAGCGUUGUUCGGAUUCAUUGGGCGUAAAGGGUGCGUAGGCGGCGCGGUAAGUCGGGUGUGAAAUCUCGGAGCUUAACUCCGAAACUGCAUUCGAUACUGCCGUGCUUGAGGACUGGAGAGGAGACUGGAAUUUACGGUGUAGCGGUGAAAUGCGUAGAUAUCGUAAGGAAGACCAGUGGCGAGGGCGGGUCUCUGGACAGUUCCUGACGCUGAGGCACGAAGGCCAGGGGAGCAAACGGG